rnacentral:piRNA from 1 species
UAGGCAUACAGUUAACACCUGAGAAUUGCC